UAAUUAUCCAGGUUUAUUAGCAGGGAUAUAAUGAAAGACGACACAGUUGCUGUGUUUUCUCCUUAUCGAUGUACUCUGCCGAUUCCAGGAAGUCAGUCGAUCCAAUAGGAUGCGUCUCAUUUAAUCACGUAUUUUUAGAGGUCGCUGAUUGGCGGCCCAAUUAGUCGCGUCGCAGCCUCUGUUUACCGGAAGUGAUUGAGAUUAGGGGGUGAGAGGAUGGGUGUAGAUUGAGAUUAGGAACAUGAAAUGGAGCUCAGAAGGGAAGGAACUGAAGCUUGGACAGAAAGACAACAAACAACAGCUUCUGUUUGUGGAUUUUAAAUGCUUCUGUUUGUUGAAGGGGAAACCUGUCACAUGGCCAUCAGAUGAUUGUACUGCUCCUGCAGCAGAAGCGGGAGGCGCUCGAGGAAGACGGCCAUGCAGGGAGCUCGACUCAAACCCUGGAUUCCCUGAGAACGGAGCACGGUGCGACAUGACGCCAGGACGUGGUUCUGGGAGAUCCAGUCCGGACUGCAGCGAAUCAGCAAGAUGUCCUGCCGGGAAACAGGAAAUAAAUCGGCUCCUCCUAUACUGAUCAUAAUAAAUACUUGUACAUGCUGCAUACUUACAGCAUACAGCCAGCCCCCUCUACUAAUAUUGGCACCGAAAAGCACUGAAAAUGUCCAUUUCCACCAUAAGGGCAAUAAUAAGUUCUAGUCAACUGUAGGGCUGCAACUAACAAUUAUUUAAGCGGUUAGUUGGCCGAUUAUUUUUCCGAUUAAUCGGAUGGAGGUGGGGCAAACUUUCAGUACCCUUUCAGGGCUCCAGCCAAAAAAAAAUAAUAAUCUAUUUCCUAUAAUCUAUAAUCUGUUUUACCAGCAAUAGCUUGUCCUGCUUUAGCACAAAAGGUGCAGUACAUUUUCCCAUCAUCAUAACGUAGCCAAGCUGAUUUAAACUGUCUUGUCGGGAUGGGAGCUGCAGGGACGGGAGAAGACUUGAUUCGCUGCGCUUGGCUGUCAUCAUGUGUAAAAGAUUGCACACCGAUUGAAACGGGCUGGGAUGACUCAAAUGUCACUUGAGAACUUUCACUGGUCGAGUUGGUCUCAACAUCGUUGGCAUCUGAUGUAGAGGAGGCAGGGUUUGGACGGGCAAGGAAUGAGAAAAAGUCUGAUAUUUUUCGUUUGCACAUUUCGUUUUCUUUUCAGCUGGAUAAAGUUAGUUAACUACGCAGUUAGCUAGCCUACAUAUAACGGAUAAAUUCAAAUUCCAACAAACUAACCCACAUUAAACUAAAUUAAACACCUUUAAUAAAGUUUACACUUCCAACUUUUUAACCCGAUAAACGUGACGUUAAACCUGUUUCUGUUCAUCUAUACAGCCGACGCUUCAACCCCUGCAGGACGAGAGUGCAGAGUUUAUUUAUUGGAUACCAUACAGGAGUGCACGCGAUAGGGCAGGUAGACACAGGCGCAAGAGGAGAUGAGAGUUCAGUAGCCUUACACAACAAGACGUAUCGUAAUUUCUAUUUAAUUUGUUUUUCAAAUUUUGUUUGUGGGUAAUGGUGGCCACUGGCACCUGGCAGAAAAAACAUGGUUGCUGUAGUUUAAUUUGUUGCUUUUUGUGCAUCUAUAAAAAUAAUGCAUAUAUACUAUUAAAUAAAUUUUAGAUAUGGAAGUGAUAUAUGUAACAUUUAUUCUAUAGUAUUUAUGCAUUACUUUUAUGGAUGCACAAAAAGCAACAAAUUAAACUACAGUCCUACAUUAAUAAUAAAAACUCACUUUCACUGCCCCUUCACUGUGUUGCUGUUGCUCGCUGCCUUUAGGAAUAUUAUUUUACUUGUGUUUACUUUUGAUCAUAGUGUUUUAAUUAGACAUUAUAGAUCUUACUCACGCUCCCGCUUUGUAUCAGCGCAUCAACACAGUGCGUGAUCAGCAACACGGCCUUAUUGCUAACACAUCACUUACAUUAUAAUAACAGAAUUUACACUGCAAGUGCGCAAAUACAACAUAUAAUGACAAUAAACUUAAAUUAAACUAAACCUUUUAAGCCGCUCGCACUAGUUUCCCCUGCCCCUUACACACAGUGGAGCAUUUUGGAUAUAAUCAUAAGUUUGUGCUUGUGCAACACUGUUUGAUUUCCAUGGUGUUUAAUAUAAAAUGCCCUCCUGCCUUAGAGGACUUUCUUCCUCAGUCUCGUGACGAUUUCGCCUCCGUCUGUUGGUGACUGAGGUCAUGUUGGGAAUAAAAGGUAACGCUGACAGAAAGUAAACUGAAGAAAGUCAUUAUCGGUGACUUUGGGUGUUUGCUAAUGCUAGCAAGCGUCUUCAGUUUGCCAGACACUACUGGAACUUCAAAUGGGAUCGGGUUCUAUGGUCAGAUGAAACCAAAAUAGAGCUUUUUGGCAAUAAACACCAGAGGUGGUUUUGGUGCACAGAGAGAUAGCCAUAUGGAAAAGUAUCUCAUGCCCAUGGUUAAAUAUGGUGCUGGCUUUGGGGCUGUUUUCUGCCAGAGGACCUGGACAUUUUGUUAGGAUACAUGGCAUCAUGGACUCCAUGAAAUAUAAACAGAUAUUAAAUGAAAACCUGACUGCCUCUGCCAGAAAGCUUCAAAUGGGCCGUGGUCGGCUCUUCCAGCAGGACAAUGAUCCAAAACAUACAUCAAAAUCAACACUAAAAUGGUUUACUGACCACAAAAUCCUGCCAUGACCAUCCCAGUCCCCUGACUUGAAACCCAUAGAAAACCUGUGGGGUGAACUGAAGAGGAGAGUCCACCAGCGUGGACCUCGAACUUUGAAGGAUCUGGAGAGAUUCUUUAUGGAGGAACGGUCUCAGAUCCCUUGCCAUGUAUUCUCCAACCUCAUCAGGCAUUAUAGGAGAAGACUCAGAGCUGUUAUCUUGGCAAACGGAGGUAGCACAAAGUAUUGAAUAAAGGGUGCCAAUAAUUGUUGCACACCUAUAUUUAACAAAGACUUUUUUUUGGAUAAACCUGUGUUGUGUUUGCAAUCGUUUGAUAUCCAUGAGAGCAGAGUAUUUUUUGUGAAUAUUUUUUUUAACAGUUUAAACAAUAAAGACAAUUUUUCACAGCCUUCUUUGCUCAUAUUCACCAAGGGUGCCAAUAUUAGUGGAGGGCACUGUAUAUACAGCAUACAUAGUGCAAACUUACUCCAUACAUACUGUCUGAAAAGUGUAAAACCGUUAUUUUGGA